GAUGAAGAACGCAGUGAACGUGCGAAACGUAAUGUGAAUUGCAGAAUUCAGUGAAUCAUCGAAUCUUUGAACGCAUCUUGCGCUCCUUGGUAUUCCGAGGAGCAUGCCUGUUUGAGUGUCGUGAAAUACUCUCAAUUUCAAUCUUUUUGUUUGAAAUUGGAUUUGGAUGUUGUUGUGGAUCUUGCUACGACUCAUCCUAAAUGCAUUAGCGAUCUGCCUUGAUCACACACAAUGUGAUAAGAUGAGCAUUGUUAUAAUCAAGUCAUGACUGCUUCUAACCGUCCCUUUGGGACAAACGUCUUAUGUCGUUUGACCUCAAAUCAGGUAGGACUACCCGCUGAACUUAAGCAUAUCAAUAAGCGGAGGA
rnacentral:misc_RNA from 1 species